rnacentral:rRNA from 1 species
AGUGAACGCUGGCGGUAGGCCUAACACAUGCAAGUCGAACGGCAGCACAGUAAGAGCUUGCUCUUACGGGUGGCGAGUGGCGGACGGGUGAGGAAUACAUCGGAAUCUACUUUUUCGUGGGGGAUAACGUAGGGAAACUUACGCUAAUACCGCAUACGACCUACGGGUGAAAGCAGGGGAUCUUCGGACCUUGCGCGAUUGAAUGAGCCGAUGUCGGAUUAGCUAGUUGGCGGGGUAAAGGCCCACCAAGGCGACGAUCCGUAGCUGGUCUGAGAGGAUGAUCAGCCACACUGGAACUGAGACACGGUCCAGACUCCUACGGGAGGCAGCAGUGGGGAAUAUUGGACAAUGGGCGCAAGCCUGAUCCAGCCAUACCGCGUGGGUGAAGAAGGCCUUCGGGUUGUAAAGCCCUUUUGUUGGGAAAGAAAAGCAGCACGUUAAUACCCCGCUGUUCUGACGGUACUCAAAGAAUAAGCACCGGCUAACUUCGUG